rnacentral:snRNA from 1 species
AUCCAAGUGCAGGGGUUUUACGUGUAUCAGUGAGGAUUCGUCCGAGAUCACGUUUUUGCUAGUUGAAAACUACAUACCUGACCGCUCUCAGUUGGCUUCGGCUGGCUGGGGAAUUUUUGGAAAAAAAAUUACUUCUCGCCAAGAGAUCUAUUUU